rnacentral:lncRNA from 1 species
AUGCUAUGUUGUGAUCCAUACUCGGUUCCCCCAGUCCUCUCUCUGGGUGUAGAUAGCUCUCUUCAUCACAAGAUCAUUGGAACUGGUCUGAAUCAUCUCAUUAUUGGAGAGUCACAUCCAUCAGAACUGAUUAUCGUAUAAUAUUGUUGUUUCCAUGUACAAUAAUCUCCUGGUUCUGCUCACUUCACUCAGCAUCAGUUUAUGCAAGUCUCUCCAGGCCUUUCUGAAAUCAUCCUGCUGGUCAUUUCUUACAGAACAAUAAUAUUCCAUAAUAUUCAUAUACCACAAUUUAUUCAGCCAUUCUCCAACUGAUGGGCAUCCAUUCAGUUUCCAGCUUCUGGCCACUACAAACAGGGCUGCCACAAACAUUUUGGCACAUACAGGUCCCUUUCCCUUCUUUAGUAUCUCUUUGGGAUAUAAGCCCACUAGUAACACUGCUGGAUCAAAGGGUAUGCAAAGUUUGAUAACUUUUUGAGCAUAGUUCCAAAUUGCUGUCCAGAAUGGCUGGAUUCAUUUACAAUUCCACCAACAAUGUAUCAGUGUCCCAGUUUUCCCAUAUCCCCUCCAACAUGCAUCAUUAUCUUUUCCAUCAUAUUAGUCAAUCUGAGAGAUGUCUAGUGGUAUCUGAGUGGCCUUAAUUUGCGUUUCUCUGAUGAAUAAUGAUUUAGAGCAUCUUUUCAUAUGACCAGAAAUGGUUUCAAUUUCUUCAUCUGAAAAGUGUGUGCUCAUAUCCUUUUACCAUUUAUCAAUUGGGGAAUGGCUUGAAUUCUUAUAAAUUUGAGUUGAGUUAAAUUUUAAAAAGAUAAAUGUAUGAAAACUAAAUUUGAGGAACUUCGAGCAGGUAAAUAGGAGUAGGGAAGAAAAUGAAGGGACAGACUACCAUCAAAACAGUGUGAAUAGGGAUGAAAUUAAUCAUAGAAAUGAAAUGCUGACUUAAAAGAGGACAAAAAUCAAUACAAAAUAAAAAGGAUAAGUAAAAAAAAACUUGACAAUCUACUACAUAUGAGAAACAAGUGAUGCCUUUCUCUAGUUUAUAAUGGCAUUUAUAGAAUACUGUAAGGCUUGCAAAGAGCUUUACAAAUAUCUCAUUUUAUCCUCACAAGAAC